UUUAUCAGCAACGUCCAUGGCCUCUUCAACUUGCUUGUUUGGCGUGAGUGCACCUAGAUGUUCAAAAGCAUCCUUGAGCUGGUCCUUGGUGAGGCUACCCUGCUUAGAGUAAGAUCGAAACACCUGUUCCAACUUGUUUUUGUAGCUUUUUACAUUGUAAUAUAUGAAAAAAGAAGUUAGUUAAACUAAGAGAGCUUAUCUAAACCAAAUUAAAAUGAAGAAAAUAAAUCCAAACCCUAAAUGAAAAGAGGUAUCAAAAGAAUAAUGCUAAUUUUAUUAAGUCUACGAGGAAAUGGAAUAGUAUUUGGGAAAAAAGUUGAAUGGGAUGCUAGUAAAGAAUCAAACUCUAGGCCUUCUAUUAUUGAUAUAUAAAAUGAUAAUAUAUCUUGGAUAAUUAAAAACUUUUCAUUUGAAUAUAUCUUAAAAAGAUUUGGAUAACCAAUAAUUUUUUAAAUACAUUUAUUUAAUCCAUAAAUACAUUCAAAUAAAAUCCUACAAAAAUAAUAAUUUUAUCUAUUUAUUUUUUAAUUUAAAUUGAUUUUUCAUUUAAAUUUUGAUAAAUUACUUUAUAGAUUUCAACUGCAAAUAAACUAAAAAAGAUAAAUUAUCUUAAAAUUUUCAACUACAGAUAAAUCGUAAAAUUUUAGAUAAUUCAAUAAUUUUUGAAAUACAUUUUUUUAUAAGUAAUUUAAAAUUAGUAAAUAUCUUAUGUGUCAUUAUAAAAAAAAAUUUAGAAAUUUUUUUAUGUGUCGAAAAAUGAAACUAUCCACAUAAAUGUCUACCUUAGUAAAUUCUAUCUGAUAACUAUGUAUAUUAUAAUAUAAUAUAAUAUGAUCAUGUUUGGUACUUAAAAUUAUGAUAUGAUAGGAUAAGAUAAUAUUAUGAAUAGUAUUAAAUUAAAUAAUGUUACCUUAUUUUAUGUUUGAUGUAUGCAAAGAUUAAGAUAAGAUAAUUUAUUUAUUUGUCAAAAUUAUAUUUUUUUAAAAUUUAUACAAUUUUAAAUUAUUAAUAUAAUUUUUAAGAGCAUAAUUAGAUUUGUAAGUUUAAUCCUAUAAAUUAAAAAUAAUACUCUCCAUUUGAAAAAGAUUGAAUAAUUCUAUACCAAAAGAAUAUUAAUCAUCCUUGUAAUUCUUAUCACUCUCUUUAGAUAUAAAUUAGACAUGAUAUAAAAUGAUUAUCAUCAUAUCCUAUCAGUAAUCAUACGCAUCAAAUAUGACCUAUAUAUAAUAGUAAUUAAUUACUUUCCUAAUCAACUAUUGGGCCGUGAAACAAGUGCUAAAAAAUUGAUAAGCCUUAAUUUUUCAAUCCAUGGCAUUUUGUAUUCAACGCUGUUGGAUUUCUUUGGGGCUGGGCUGAGUCCAAUAGCCAAUAAUUGAGUUCAUAAUUGGGCCUAAAAUCCAUUUAACCAAAAUUUAUGAUUCUUAAAACUUAUGUAAGUAUGCCCCUAUAUUUAUAUUACAAAAAUUAUCAUAUUCACUGCUUGUAGUAGAGUUUCUAAAUUUUAUCAUCAAGAUGGUAAUAGUAGUGUGAGAUAUUGAUAGAAUAUUAAAAUUUUUAUUUUAAUAAUUAAAGCUUAAAUUAUGACAAUUUUAAAUAUGAAUUCUUUACAUCAUCUUACAUUAUACAUGCAUAUAUAAUAAUACAUAUAAAGCAAGUAGUAAAAAGCUAAAAACAAUCUUAUAAAAUGUGGAAAUUAUAGAGGGAAAUUGGGGGCUAGAUACUAGGAAAGCUCUAUAAUAGUUAAAAAAAAAAAAAGACUUAUUACCAAAUUACAAUAACACCAUCUCAUUAUAAUAAUUUUGCAAGAAACAUUUAUGAGGUACGAAAGGGUCAAAAUUUAUUAUUGAAAAAUGAAUUAAUUAAUAGUAGGAUAGAAAAAUAAUUUAAAAGAUUACAAUUAGUAAUUUCAUGAUCAAAUAAAUGAUUUUUUAAAAUUAAUGUAAAAAUCUGUUUUCUAAACCAAAACAAUGCACAAAUGACACUAGAAAUUAAUCUUUCAUAAUCAUAUAUGCCUCAAAUAUUUUAAUAAAAUUACAAAAAAAUUUAACUAUUUUUGAAAAUAAAAUUCAGAUAUAUAUAAUUUUGCUAAAUAAGGUAUUUCAACUUUUGAUAUUUGAAGUUACCUUUAUAAAUAAAAUCUCACUUGAAAUCCUAUAACUAAUUAACAGACUUUAAUAUUCUAAUUCUCAUCAAAGUGUAACUUUUCUUUACCUACUAAGACUGACAUUGUUCUUACUUCAAUAUUAUCAAAACCAUUUUCUUUUACACAAAUAUAAAUAUAUAUAUAUAUAUAUAUAUAAGUGCAAAUGCAUAUGCCGUGUGUAAAUUUUUUUAAAAAAAUUAAGUAUUUAAAUUAGAUUCAUAUAUAUAUAUAUAUAUAUAUUGUCUGCUUUCUUCUCAAAUAGGUUUACUUUUAAGUUUCCUCAAACUUUUUGUCUAUGUUUUUAAGUAAUAAAAAUACUACACUAUAAUUUAUAAUAAUACAAACAACAUGUUUAUGGUACUUGAUAAAAGGGCGGCGCUACAGGGGGCAGGCAAAGGCCAAAGCCCCCUCAAAAUUUUUUACCUCCAAUGUUAUAUAAUGAUCAGCCUCUUCUAAUUACCAUUUUGAUCCAUUCUUUCCUUUUAAAAUUAUUGUUUGGUCCAUCCAUUAUCAAAUUUCUACCUUCGCCUCUGCUUUAUACACACAAUAUAACUUGCAAGUAUGCAAAAUUACACACAGAAUUACAAAAAAACAGGGGAUUUUAUUUUAUUUUUAUUUUAUCAUGUUUUUGAGACAACAUGAAAGAAAAAGACCCAAAGCAUCAGUCAUAAGCAUCCCCAUACUUAAGCUAAAAGUUGAUCUAUGGGCUCUCAAACGGAACCGCUGAAGCCUUUAUUGUAAGCAUAUUCAAUAAGGGAAUCCAACUCAUCAUUGGUGCAGUCGAUCAAAUUGUCCUUGUUUUUAUCAGCAACGUCCAUGGCCUCUUCAACUUGCUUGUUCGGCGUGGGUGCACCUAGAUGUUCAAAAGCAUCCUUAAGCUGGUCCCUGGUGAGGCUGCCCUGCUUAGAGUAAGAUCGAAACACUUGUUCCAAUUUGUUUUUCUGAUCCUUGUUAUCCUUCGUGGCUUGCAUUGUGGAUUUUGAGGUUUAUGACAGGGUGAUAUUAGAGAGAAGGCUUGCCUAGCUUGGUUUGGUUUUCUUUUCCAAUGCAAUUUGUUUAUAUAGACCCAAAACUCUGAGUACGAUUCUGUUGAAGUAUAGGGGAAUAAAACAUUUUUUGGUGGUGGGUUUUAAAUUUUGAUUUCCAUCCCUUUUAUCAAUAAAAUUAACAAAUCAAUCAAUCAAUUUUUAUAAUGAAUACUUCAAAAAAAAUAUUCCAAGAGGAUUGGUACGAAUAAAAAUAUUAAUGUUAAUUUCUUCUUUUCUUCUGGCUUCAAAUUAACCACAGAUUGGAAAAUGCUAAAUGGCGGCCUCCACUAUCUUGUGUCGUAGUGAUGAUACAAGCCUCCACUAUCUUAUGUCCAUUUUCUAUUGUUUCAUUUGUUUUAGCCCUCAAUUUGCUAUUUUUAGUUUUUUUUUUUUUUUUUUUUUUGUGGUUGCCUGAUUAAAUGAUGCAUUUUGGUCCAUUUAGUUUAAUGAAUUUUCAGAAUUUGGUAGAUCUCGUGAAAGGAGUUCUAGGAAGUACUUUGAUGAGCAUGCUUGUAAAUUGUGAUAAUUAUUGUGUAUGAAUGUUAAGUUAUCCAAAAAUAAAUAAGUUUAGUAUUAGGACUUUCUUUCCUUUAUUGUUUGCUAUAAAUGAUUGUGGAGCAAAGCAAGCUACUGUUAAACUAACUAUUUUCAUUGUACCACUUCCAGGAAUCGUGGCUUUAGUGGGUUAAAACUAUGUAAAUGUUUCUCUCUCAUAUGUUCUUAAUCUGGGUAGGAUAGAACUAAGUUUGGGCUAUUUCAAUUCCUUUGCACCUUUGUUCCCUUGAACCGUAAUAUUUUCUCAACCAUCCUUUUCCAAGGGGAAAGCUGUAAUACAUAUUAUAUAUAUAUAUAUAUAUAUAUAUAUAUUUAAAUUAGAUGAUUUUGUAAAAAAAUUAUAUUGAUGAAAGUGUCUACAUGACAUCCACUUUUUCAAUCCUUCAUUUUUUAUAAAUCUUUGUUUUUAAAAGUUCAUAACAAAAAUUUUACAAGAAUAUCUCAUCAUUGCUAAUUUGCAUGAUAAAUCAACAUUUUUUUCUUUUUUUUUUGUUUUGAUUUUCAUAUUGAUUUUUUUUAGUUUUUUUUUUGCUUUUUAUUUUUCAUUAGAUCAAUUGUUUAAGAAAAAAAAAAAAAACCCAACAGAUAUGCCCACGUGACAUCCUAUUUCAUUUUUUGCUGUUGAUCUGUUUUUUUAAUUAGAUAAAUAUUACUAUUAAAAAAAUCAGUACAUAAAUUUUGUAAAAUAAAAGUCAAUUGAGAUAUAAACAAUAAAAUAACUUGUAUUUUUUAUGUUUUGAUUCAUAUGGAUCUAAUUGGUGUGCUUCUUUUUUUUUUUAAUUUAGGAUCGGAAGCUUUAAAAAAUAUGAAUUAUUACCAAAUUACAAUAGCAUCGUCUCAUUAAAAUAAUUUUGUAAGAAACCUUUAUGAAGUAAGAAACGAAAAACUUAUAAUUGAAAAAUGAAUUAAUUAAUAGUGGGAUAGAAAAAUAAUUUAAAAGAUUACAAUUAGUAAUUUCAUAAUCAAAUAAAUGAUUUUUUAAAAUUAAUAUAAAAUUGUGUUUUCUAAACCAAAGUAAUGCACAAAUGACAAUACAAAUUAAUCCUUAAUGGAUGUCUCGCAAAAAAUUUAAUAAAAUUACAAAAAAAUUUAAUUAUUUCCAAAAUAAAAUCUUGAUAUAUAUAUAAUUUUGCUAAAUAAAGUAUUUAAACUUUUGAUAAUUGAAGUUACCUUCAUAAAUGAAAUCUCAUUUGAAAUCCUGUAACUAAUUAACUCAUUUUAAUAUUUUAAUUCUAAUUAAAGUGUAACUUUCUUUUGCCCGUUGAGACUAGCAUCAGUAUUACUUUAAUUAUUUUGUCAAACAGCUUCAAUUUUAUCAAAAUCAUUUUUGUCUAUACUUAUAUAUAUGCAUGUGCAAAAACAUGAGCAUAAAUGCGUAUAAAAAUAAAAAGAAUCAAGCAUUUAAGCUACAUCCAUAAAUAUAUAUAUAUAUAUAUAUAUGUAUAUAUUCCUCCAAAUAGGUUUAAGUUUUCUCGAACCUUUUGUGUAUAGUUUAUAAUAGUACGAUUAACAUGUUCUUGAUAUUUGAUACACACAAUAUAACUUGCAAGCAUGUAAAAUUACACGCAGAUUGGAAUAAAAACAGGGGGUUUUUAUUUUAUUUUAAUUUUAUCAUGUUUUUGAGACAACAUGAAAGAAAAAGACCCAAAGCUAUAUAUUUAUUUUUCAUCAGUCAUAAGCACCCCCCAUACUUAGGCUAAAAGUUGAUCCAUCAGCACUUAAACGGAACCGCUGAAGCCUUUAUUGUAAGCAUAUUCAACAAGGGAAUCCAACUCAUCAUUGGUGCAGUCGAUCAAAUUGUCCUUAUUUUUAUCGGCAACGUCCAUGGCCUCUUCAACUUGCUUGUUUGCCGUGAGUACACCUAGAUGUUCAAAAGCAUCCUUGAGCUGGUCCCUGGUGAGGCUGCCCUGCUUAGAGUAAGAUCGAAACACUUGUUCCAAUUUGUUUUUCUGAUCCUUGUUAUCCUUUGUGGCUUGCAUUGUGGAUUUUGAGGUUUAUGACGGGGUGAUAUUAGAGAGAAGGCUUGUCUAGCUUGGUUU
rnacentral:lncRNA from 1 species